AUGGCGGGAAUACGAGUGGGGUGCUGGAGCUCCACCCUGCUGCUUGCUCUGGUGCGCGCCCCGGCUUCCUUCCUACUCGCGCUCGUGUGCGGCGGCCGCUGCACUCGCUCCCGUGCACCUUCUGCUGCUCCAGUGCGCGCGCAUGUACCUCCCUACUCGCACAUGUGUGCGGCGGCGGCCACCACCGCUGCUCGCGCCUGUGCACCUGUGUGGCACAGACUGGUCGGCAGGGAGGUUGAAGGGCGAGGUGGGCGGUUGCAGGCCUCGCCGACUGGGGAACGAGAGAGGAUGGAGGAAGGAGAUGGGAAGAAGGGGACGCACUGUGGAGCUGAUUGCUUUUUUAUUUUUUAUUUAGGGGUGUAUGUGCAAAACCUAUGGACUAGUUUGUAA
rnacentral:rRNA from 1 species